GUGUUUGCUCCAUCAGCACAUAUACUAAAACUGGAACGAUACAGAGAAGAUUAGCAUGGCCCCUACACAAGGAUGACACGCAAAUUGGUGAAGUGUUCCAUACUUUU